UAUUCGGGAGUCUGCUCUCCUGCCUUGCUUGUGGGACUUGCUAACCCAGGGAUGCACAGGUGCUAGAGGGAAACAAGGAAACUAAUCAGAGCAGCAGCAGCAGCAGCCCCCUCCAGGAAAGGGAGCCUGGAUGGAUUGUAAUGCACAUGGAUAGACUGAAAUGCUCAGCAGAUGAUUUUGCUUAAAUCUCAAAUGCAAAGAUGGGAUUUCCAAGACCCUGCAUUAUGCCUGCUGCUAAACACACUCCAAGAGUUCUCAGGCCCCCUCAGCCUGUGUUGCAGUGGAAGUGUCCUGUUGUCUGUACUCGUGUGCUGCUCCAUACCUCCAGCUCCCCACCCUGCAUUCCUCUUCUGCAUUCUUUUCAACAUUAAAAACCAACUAGGAUCUUUAUCACUCACUUCCAAAAGCACAAAAUAUUCCUGAGACACUGGAGCAGCAUUGUGAUCUAGCAGCCAGGUCAGGCUCCCCUCAGGUCCCACAGAAACACUUUGGAGCUGCUGUUGCAGGUAAAGUUGCUUUUCUCACCUUCCCACCACUACCUGGCUGUACAUGGACACUGGACCAGAACAGGGGGGCACAGCAGGAAACAGCUCCUGGCAACAUUUCCUGAAUAAAGGAGCACCCAGUGAACCCCAGCUGAGGUCAGGUAAGGUCAA